rnacentral:rRNA from 1 species
UGGCGGCGUGGAUUAGGCAUGCAAGUCGAACGAAUCCCAUCUGGGCAACUGGGUGGGGGAAGUGGCGAAAGGGGCAGUAAGGCGUGGGUAACCUGCCUCGGAGUUGGGAAUAGCCUCUCUAACGAGAGGGUAAUACCCGAUGUCAUGUCGAAGGGGCCUCCUUUUGACAUGAAAGCUCAGGCGCUCCGAGAGGGGCCACGUGAUAUUAGCUUGUUGGUGAAGUAACGGCUCACCAAGGCCAAGAUGUCUAGCAGGUGUGAGAGCACGACCUGCGCCACUGGCACUGGGACACUGGCCAGACUCCUACGGGAGGCUGCAGUCGAGGAUCUUCGGCAAUGGGCGCAAGCCUGACCGAGCGACGCCGCGUGUGCGAUGAAGGCCUUCGGGUUGUAAAGCACUGUCGGGGGGAAGAAAAGCCGCAAGGCUUGAUCGACCCCCGGAGGAAGCACGGGCUAAGUUCGUGCCAGCAGCCGCGGUAAGACGAACCGUGCGAACGUUGUUCGGAAUCACUGGGCUUAAAGGGCGCGUAGGCGGGCAGGCAAGUCAGGGGUGAAAGCCCACGGCUCAACCGUGGAAGUGCCUUUGAUACUGGUCGUCUCGAGGGAGGUAGGGGUGUGUGGAACUUCCAGUGGAGCGGUGAAAUGCGUUGAUAUUGGAAGGAACGCCGGAGGCGAAAGCGACGCACUGGACCUCUUCUGACGCUGAGGCGCGAAAGCUAGGGGAGCAAACGGGAUUAGAUACCCCGGUAGUCCUAGCCCUAAACGAUGGGUACUAGAUUGUAGACUGAUCAUGGGUUUACAGUCGAAGCAAAAGUGUUAAGUACCCCGCCUGGGGAGUAUGGUCGCAAGGCUGAAACUCAAAUGAAUUGACGG